UAUUUUCGUACUUGCCAAUUUUAAAGGCAAAUGAACAAGGUUUCAUACCAAACUAAUAUUUCCAAAUAUUUAUUUGAUUCUUGUAUGAUCUAGACUUUUAUCUGCAAGAAAAAAUAUAUUUAUGGAGCAAAACAUAUGUUUAUAUUGUGCUCUACAUCUUGAAAAGUGCACAGGUCUCAGCAGAAAAGUAUAUUUGUUUGUAUAAACGGAAGAUGAUAUUUCAAAAAGAAACAUAAAUCGUAGUGGGUCAUUCAGACACAUUCUUGUAGAUUUGGGCCAAAGUUUAUGAUUUGGGGCAUUUUUCCUAUUUUUAUUACCUCCCCUUGAUGCUCUUCGUUUAGGAAAUCACAAAGAGCUUAUCUAAGUUUACUUCCUGGAUUAUGCUGAAUUCAGAUUUCUACUCGGAUUUUGCAAAUUUUUAGUAUAUUGAUACAAUGACAGUCAGAGAUUUUAUGCUAAAUGGGCAUGUGAUGCUUGGAUGUGUCCCUUCAAACCAAGUCCACGUUUAAAAUUUGCUGAAUAGCGACAUUGUUUGGGAAAAAUACUCUGGCAGAAAAGAGUCUAAACUGUGGAUAGACAUCAGAGUCUGACAUCUGUCUGUUUAUUUCCAUAAGUGAAGUUUGUAUCAACUGACUGAAGGAUCAGUGUUAAAGGAUAACACUACAAUGAAAACAGCUGUGAGUUGUUUCUUUUGAAAAUGACUGUUUGAUGAUAAAGUUUCAAACAACUAUGAAGUGAGUGGAUGUUCUAGAGAGAAAAGGACCCUCUGCACAUGUAUGAGAAACAGAUUUUACUUUUAAAGUGGCCCAUAUAAUGUUGAAAAGGAUGAAAUCCUGUAUCUGUCAAAAUGUAACAACAGUAACAACCAUUUUAGUUUGAUUUGUGUUUUACUAGACUAAUUCUCCAAAGAAUGAAUGAUCAUCAUCAUGCUUAUAUUGGAAUAAAAGGAAGGAAGGUAUCUACAUUUUAUUUAUAGUUUAUCUUAGUGUCUGAUCAGGUCUGAUUUCAGAUCUUUAUAAAUGCUUGAUUGAAUGUUAUUUUUUGACAGAAUAUUUAUGAG